GUAUUCGAAAUAUCGGAAAUAAUUUAAUGACAACAAUAAACGCUAGGUUUAAUUGGAAAAGUGGUUUUAUUUGAGUGUAUCUGAAGUGAUAUUAGUAGUGGUGUUGGAUGGUCGCAUCGCCAGAGGCACAGUUAAGCCGCUAUUAUCGAAAGGCUUUUCGAAGCUGUACAUAUAAUAGUACUUCCAAGUUUCCGGGAAGUCAUUACAGAGAUGGAUAAUAUGUGGCUGAAACGAUGUUUUGAACGUCAGGGCGAAAAGCGCACGAAAGCAGCGAUUUCUUAAUGAUCUUCGUGGAAUGUCAUGGGGCGCACUGCGGCUGCAUGCACGCUCCGUGCAACGCUCCCGCUCCCGCUACCUCCUAUGCGCUAAGUCCCUGCAGUGAACUUCUUAACACCAGGUCAAUUGUAUGUCUGUUUGAAGUACAUAAAAGAACCGAAACGGGAGUAGAAUUGCAUAUGUAAAUGCUAAUAUUAAUGAAAUUUAUCCAUUAAUUGUUUACUAAUGUUUUUAUAUUAUAUGAAAACGCAAGCGUUUUAAUGUCGA